CGCAAUUCUCUCAAACAAUUUCUAAGUCGUUCCCAAAUCUCUCUCAAAUCGCUCUUUCGAAACCUUCUCGAAUUUCAAUUCCUCUUUUCUGAAAUCAUGCAGAUCUUUGUGAAAACCCUAACGGGGAAGACCAUCACCUUGGAAGUCGAGAGCUCCGAUACCAUCGACAACGUUAAGGCUAAGAUCCAAGAUAAGGAGGGCAUCCCUCCCGAUCAGCAGCGUCUCAUAUUCGCCGGAAAGCAGCUUGAGGACGGCCGGACCCUCGCCGAUUAUAACAUCCAGAAGGAAUCGACCCUCCAUCUGGUGCUUCGUCUCAGGGGAGGUAUGCAGAUCUUCGUCAAAACCCUAACCGGGAAGACGAUCACCCUCGAAGUCGAGAGUUCCGACACGAUCGAUAAUGUUAAGGCCAAGAUCCAGGAUAAGGAGGGAAUUCCCCCUGACCAGCAGAGACUUAUCUUCGCCGGCAAGCAAUUGGAGGACGGCCGCACCCUAGCCGACUAUAACAUCCAGAAGGAGUCGACUCUCCACUUGGUUCUCCGAUUGAGAGGAGGUAUGCAGAUUUUUGUCAAAACCCUAACGGGGAAGACAAUUACUCUGGAGGUCGAGAGCUCUGAUACCAUCGAUAACGUGAAGGCCAAGAUCCAGGAUAAGGAGGGUAUUCCCCCGGAUCAGCAGCGGUUGAUCUUCGCUGGCAAGCAAUUGGAAGAUGGCAGGACUCUGGCGGAUUACAAUAUCCAGAAGGAGUCGACUCUCCACUUGGUGCUGCGAUUGAGGGGUGGUAUGCAAAUUUUCGUGAAGACCCUAACAGGGAAGACAAUUACCCUGGAGGUCGAGAGUUCCGAUACGAUUGAUAACGUGAAAGCAAAAAUUCAAGACAAGGAGGGUAUUCCUCCAGAUCAGCAGAGAUUGAUCUUUGCCGGUAAGCAAUUGGAAGAUGGCAGGACUCUGGCGGAUUACAACAUCCAAAAGGAGUCAACUUUGCAUUUGGUCCUUCGAUUGAGGGGUGGUAUGCAGAUUUUUGUGAAGACUCUUACCGGAAAGACCAUCACUCUGGAAGUUGAAAGCUCGGAUACGAUUGACAACGUGAAGGCGAAGAUUCAAGACAAGGAGGGUAUUCCUCCUGAUCAGCAAAGGCUUAUCUUUGCUGGGAAACAAUUGGAGGACGGCAGGACCUUGGCGGAUUACAACAUCCAGAAGGAGUCGACUCUUCAUCUUGUGCUCAGGCUUCGUGGUGGUAUGCAGAUAUUUGUGAAGACACUGACAGGAAAGACGAUCACUCUGGAGGUUGAGAGCUCUGACACUAUUGACAACGUGAAAGCUAAGAUUCAGGACAAGGAGGGUAUCCCACCGGACCAGCAGAGAUUGAUCUUUGCUGGGAAACAGCUCGAGGAUGGUCGUACCCUUGCCGAUUAUAAUAUUCAGAAAGAGUCUACCCUCCACCUUGUCCUUCGUCUUCGUGGUGGUGAUUUCUGAUGCAGAACUUUGUUAUGUUUUAGUUGUUUCCUUUUUGUGUUAAGGUGUUGAAUGAUGGUGGUGUUUUUUGUUGAUUGGCAAGUUUGCCGUGUUCUGUUUUUGGGGUUUGUGGGUGGUGGUGUUAUCAUUUUCUAAUUUGUCAAAACUCAGUUUGGAAUGAAUGAAUAAUAAUCUUAGUUCUGUAAACUCACAUGGGAGUCCCCUUUCUUUCUAACUAUUAUGUGGUGUAUAACUUUAUCUUGGUUCUUCUUGGUGAACUUUGAACCAAACUUUUCUUCAAAAGCGGCUGUGACAGCGUGAAUUGUGAAUUGAUCAUUCUUAUUUCAAAGAGGAGUUAUUGGAUAACUGCUAACAUUUUACUUGCUGUUUCUAAACGCGUAGCUUUGCAGUACACAGAUUGAAACAUCCCUUGUGUGCUAUAAUUUUAUUUUGGAGUCAUAAAAAUGUAAUCUUAUGCAGUUUCUGUCCCUUUCUCAAGAGUCUACCCCCGUCUUUGUUUUUGUUUCUCUCGUUUUGUUAUUGUGGUGAUGAUGGUGUUGUGAUAGUGUUGAUUUGUCAAUAAACCAAUUUAGUAUGUUCCAUUUGUGGGUUUGUGGCUGGUUUCUUUUAUCUUCUAUAAAUCUCAGUUUGACAGUGAAUCAGUAAUUUUUGGUUCUGUUAACUUCAUGUGCUUCCCUUUCUUUCCAUUUGUGUUGUGGAUGCAAAGUUGCUUAGUUUUCCUUAAUAAUUUCCUUCUUUCAAUGUUUUUGUACGUGUUCUGCUUUGUGAUCCUUUGAACUGGUGAAACAUGGAACAAAUUUUUCUUCUGAAAGUCGAUUAGUCUGUUCCUAUGCAUGUGGUCAUUGUUUGUUUGCAUUUCUCAAGAAUAUUUUUUGUCAUGUUAAUGAACAGAAGCAGCUGACAUUGCCUUUCAUGCUAUAUAUGUAUAUUAUGGUGAGAGUUCUGUGAAUUAGUAAUUCAAAUGUUCAAAUCAUGGCUAGUAAAUUCCUUCAAUAUGGGUUGUUUUGAUUGUAUAGUGUGAGUAAAUUCCUUCAAUAUGGGAUGUUUUGAUUGUAUAUUGUCAGUAAAUUCUCAUUGCAUAUCUAUGCCUGGUUGUGUUUUCUUCUGCCAUGUCUGUUGUUGACCGGAUAUAUUGGACUAUAGGCCAUUCUGUGCAGGCCGCUUUUCAUUAUGCAGCGUGCACACCAGCAUUGACGGUAUAGUGAGAGUUUAUUAAUGCUUUAGAUUUGCAACACUUUUUCUUGUCUUGCUAUGAUGCUUGUGCUCAUGAUUGAACGUGUGCUAUAGUUUUAUUUCGAGUUGUUAAAUGCUGGGACAUAGCAUGUUACGUAUACUUAGUGCCCCCAACCUUGGUCAUUUGUGAUUCUGUUGUCGUUGCAGAUGAAAGCGUCUUCCUCUUCAAUUAUUGUGUGUGAUUUUACUUGGGGAAACCUUAAGACUGAAGAAGUCUGGUUGCGUGAGUUGCUUGUCAACAUUGUUGAUAUUCUUAUCUUAGGUAACAGUAGAGGUUGCAUUUCAUGGUGUACACAGGCAGUCUAAGUUAUGUGUAUCUGUGAUCUAUCUAUAUGGUGUGCUGGGUUAUUGUUGGUGAGUUUGGUGGUGGUUUGCACUCCUAUUGUUUACUGUUAUCGGAUGGAUCAAUAACCCUGGUAUUUAGGAGUUCGGAUAUGUGCAAUAGGUAUCUACUGGUUUCGCUAGACGUAGAUUGGAGAGAUACACAGGUCCGUCUGUUGGCGUGGCGGGUGUUAGGGAGCAGUUGUGACAUGGUAGGUCACUGUUUUUAUAUUUUGUGAUGAUUUCUGAUUUAGUAAUUUAAUUCAUUUCAUCAAGCCCGUUGCACUUUGAUUUCUAUCGAUUCUUUGGAUUAUUAAAACUGCGUUCCAAUGAGAAGCCUAUGAAAUGCAUUCGUUUUAUGGUCAAAGCAAAAACAUUAGAUAACGGAGUAUGGUGGGCAAACUUUCUUAUUUACUGUUUAUAGUUGCCUUAUUUCAAAGGUUUUGGUUGACCAGGUGAAUGUUGAACCGGUGAAGUAUGCACCAAAAUUUUCUUGUUUAUUGCAUACUAUUCCACUUCUAGUUGGUUCCGUUCAAUUGCUCAUCAACAUUACUGGUUGUGGUUGGGUUCUUAUAGCUUCUAAUUACCAAACCUCAGAUUGGUAUGUCCGAAGUUUUCAAUUCUGUAAACUUCCCUUUCCUUACAAUUGUUUUUGUGGAUGCAAAUUUGCUUCUUUUUUCGUUAAUAUGUUCUGCUUAGUGAAUCUUGAACUGCUCAAUUAUGCACCAAAUUUGUCUUUUAUAAGGCAAUAUACCCUAUUCCUUUUCUGCUUGUGAGAUUACUGGUUUUUUAAUUGUUAAUGUGCUAGGUUGGGCAUGGUUUGAUUCGGUGCGGUUUUGAGUGAAAUCGAAAACCGAAGCCGCAAUUUUUUGCAGUUCAGUUCGGUACAGUUUUGAAGCCAAAACUGAAAUGAAACCAAAUUGUUUGGUUCGGUUCGGUACGAUUUUAAACGGUUUUGGUUUGGUUUCAAACCAUUUACAUACAAAAUGAAAAAAAAUCUCUGUCUUCCUCUCCCUCUCCCCUCUCUAAACGCCUUUUUCAUUUCCCGAGUCAAUUUCUAUUUGCCUCGUCAUUUGGCCUCUCAAAGGAGUCACCUGUAGAAGAGCGAGCAAUCCCACUAUACUUCUUAGAUUCUUCAUUCUUGACUGAAACGUAAGUUAUAACUCUAUAUUAGAGACACAAAAUAUUAAACAAAGCAUACACACGCUAAGAGAGACAAAGUCUGCAAGUAUUAGAAAAGGCCUAACCAAAUCAGAUAGACAGUGACUCAACAAAUAACAAUAAAACAAAUUGAUACACUUACCAUUUCGUAUCAAAAUAAACUAAUUAUUACAAAUUAAGGUACACUAGUCAAUAUCUAUUACCAUUUCACAUUCAUCACCCCAAAAAAAUCAAUAUUGAAGCCUUCAGUACCAUGCCCAGAACCUACCAUCGACGUCUAAAAAAAGUAAUAAUUGCCCAAAUAGAGCAAUUGAGAUUUGAGGACAAAAAUCAUACGUAUCUGAAUCUGAUUUACGUACAUACAUACACAUGAAUUUUUAUUAUGAAAAUGUUUUGGAGAAUUUAUCAUUAAUAGCCAAAACUUAACCCUAUUUUUAUAAAUGUCAGGUUUUAUAAAAAAAUUCAAAUAUGACAGAACACUCAUGCAAAAGUACCCAAAUACUCUCAAAUUUUGACCCUCAAAUGCAGAAGCUGCUAUCUGUGUUGUGUUCAUUGAAUGCAAAGCCAUUGUUCUACUAUCCAGGGAAGAACUUCAUGCGGAAAAAACCCAGAACCUUGUAGGAUUCAUAAUAUUUCUUAUUUAUUUUUAAGAACAUUUAAAAUACAAACUACAGUUUAGCCAAAAUUGUGAAAAGGAUAUGGAUUUGUUGGGUGUUGCUCAAAUCAAAAUUGUGUUUGAUGUCUUGAGAUGAAAUGGACUUUUCACUUCUGUGCUUUCAAACAUGGGAGCAUUUUUGCUCACCACCAUAAACUAUGGUGUAUGCACACCAUACACCUAACCAAUUAACACGUGUCAUUUCACUUAAUCAUGGUUAAUUUUUUUCAAAAUUGAAAAACUAACAUUUAAUGUGAAAGUUAAUUAGAAUUAGGUGAAAGGACAUGUGUCAAUUGAUUAGGUGUAUGGUGAGCAUACACCAUAAUUAUUAUGGUGAGCAAAAAUGCUCCCUUCAAACAGAAAGGUAGAGAUACAUGUUUAUAAAAGGAGAAUCAAUGAUCUUGAUUAAGAGUAUAUUAUUAGUAAAAAUAAUUACAAUUGAAAAAUAAAUAAAUAGGAAUUUUGAGAGAGAGAAGUUGAAGACAAUUCAAUAAAUGUGGGCAAAGCAUCGCUUGAUAAAAUUAUAUCCAUGGUAAUUUCGAGAAGACGACCUUUGAAUUUAGAAGUUUGCUUGGCAAUUGGUGUGCUGCCCCACUGUUUUCUCCUCCUCUCUGGGUUUUGGUUUUGGGUGUAAUUGAGUUAAAUAAUAAGGGUGUUUGUGUCUAUUUAAGUAAAUUUUUUUAUAUAUUUGAAAUUUUUUAUAAAAAUUGAUAUUUAUGAAAUUAAUGAGUAAAUUUUGGCUAUCAAUGAUAAUAACCCAAUGUUUUGUCCCCAAUGCCAAAUGAGACCAUGAGUAGCACUGCGCAGGAAACAACUAAUUAAAUGUAUGGAGUGUAACAAACAACUAAUUAAAACAUAACAUCUAAUAUGGAUAUUUAAUUAAAGGUUCUUUUAAUAUUUGUGGUGCUGUUUGAUUUCGGUGCGGUUUUCAAAAACCAAAACUGAAACCAAACUGUUUUCCUACACUAUGGUGCGGUUUCAAAUUGGAACCCUUUUAAACCUACAAAACCAAACUGUUUGGUGGGGUUCGAUUUGGUUUGUGUUUCGAUUUUGGUUUUCGGUUCCAAGUGUAGUAUGCUAUAAUUUUAUUAUGGAGUCAUCAAGAAGCUAAAUUGCUAGUUUGAGGCUUCUGUAGAAAUUCGAUUCCUUUAGAUACCGUUCCAGUUGGAAGCCUAAAUGCAUAUCAAUUUAUCAGGAAUUUGACAGAAUAUGGUUUGAGCUACCUUAAGCCUUUUCUCUACCCAUACAUGUUUUCUACUUAGCAUCGCAUCUCUAGCUUAAACAUAAGUGGUGGUAUCUUUGACUGGGUUAAACCGGCAAAUUCAAUGCCUCCGCGACCUUUCUUCUUUAAUUAUUUACUGGAUGUGUUCUCACUUUAGGAACCUUGAACUGGGAAGGAGCCAACUGGCAAUAUAGUUUUGUUCUUUAGAAAAUCGAGCCCAUCAUGUUCUGAUCAUAAGCUUUGGUUGUGUGUGAAUUGAUCAUGUACUUUGCCGAUUUUCUCUUAUCUUCGGGAGAACAAGUAAUUAGGAAACAGUGGUUUUCCUUUCGUGGUGUUGACAUGGUGCGGAAGUUUUGCGAAUCAAUGUUUAUUCUGUUCGAGUUGUAGGUGUUAUUGUUGACUAGUUGUGGUUGUGGUUUUCACUCCCAUUUAGUCUAAGUUUAGGGGGUAGGAUAUGUACAGCAGGUACACUAGUUCUGCUAAACGAUGGAGAGGAAUUUAAAGCAGCUUUAAAUGGGCAGUAGUGAAUUUUGGCCUCGUUUGGAAUCUGGAUUGGAAUGGAUAGAACACUAAAUUAAGGCAUGUUGAAGCGAGAAAUGAAAUAAUUAUGUCCAACAGGUAGAAGACAUGAAGAAAAUUAUUCAUUCCAAUCCCAUCCAAAAUGGUAGGAUUAGAAUAAAUGAGUUUCCUGUUGGAAGUUCAAAUCAAAUACAGUAGCCGAAAGUAGUGGAACACUUUUCAAAAAUGGUUGGAACACUUUUCAGAAAAUGAUGAAACUAUUUUUAGAAAAGCUGCAUGUAUGUGUGCAUCAAAAAGGUGGUGCAUGUGUGAAAGGGUGUAAAGAUGGUAAAUACCAUCAUUGAUUGCAUGUGUGUGUGUAAUUUUGUUUAUUAAAAAAAACCACUUGUGUGGUUCUUUUGUUUUUGCAAGUAUAAGAAAGCCUUCCCGUAAGGCUCUUUGUAAUUCCCAUUCUCAUUUUUAGCUUGUAACCUUUAAGAGUUAUAAACUCUUGUAAUAUUUCAAAGUGUGUUGUUAUUAACAAGCUUGCUACUUCUUUCCUUUCGUUUGUCCAAUUUUAUUGAGAGUGAUAAUGAGAGGUGUGAUAAAAUUAGAAAACUUAUCACUCACAUAUUUUUGGUAUUGAGUUAGUAAACUUUGAAAUACCAACAAUUGGUAUCAGAGCUAGAUUACCUUUCUGGCAAGUGCAGUAGCUAUGGCAUUUAACUUAGUGCAGCUAUAGGUUCUCACAUUGAAGAAAGAAAAUUAUGAAAGAUGGUGCAUCCAGUUCAAAGCAUUAUUUGGAUCACAGGACCUAUGGGAAGUUGUCAGUAAUGGGUAUGAUGAACCGACUAUUGAGCAGAAGCUGUCUACACUGCAAAUCAAAGAAAUACUCUCCAGGACUUACGAAAGAAGGACAAGAAGGGGCUAUAUCUUCUAUAUCAAGGAUUAGAAGAUUCAACAUUUAAGAAGAUUGCAGAAGCAACAACUAGCAAGCAAGUUUAGGACACUAUGAGCACAAUUUACCAAGGAGUAGAUCGAGUAAAAAGAGUUCGGCUUCAAUCAUUAAGAGCAGAUUUUGAGGCUGCUCAUAUGAAAGAAGGAGAAAACAUUUCAGACUACUACUCUCGACUACUUGUAAUUGUGAAUCAAAUGAAAAGGAAUGGCGAGAGGAUUGACGAUGUUCGUGUCAUGGAGGAAUCCAAGAAUUUGGAGACAAUGAGUGUAGAGGAACUGCUAGGAUCCCUCCUAGUUCAUGAACAACGCAUUCAGAAGAAUGCAAGCCCCACAACGCUAGUGCAAGCUUUGGAGUCAAAGUUGAAUAUUGACAAACCAAAUGGAGGUCGUGGAUAGUGAAAUUCACGUCGUGAAAGCUCAUCCAACCGUAGCUGAGGACGAGGUCGAGGAAGAGGUCUAGUGUCACAAAACUGAGGUCAAUCUCAAAAGUGAAGAUCUACUCGAGGAAAGGCUCAUAUCCAGUGUCACAGUUGCAAGCAAUAUGGACAUUAUGCCAAUGAAUGUUGAUAUAAAAAUGGUGAGCAUGUCAACAUGGCAGAAUCAAGUGGAAAUGUUGGUGAGGAAUUUAUAGUCUUACUAGCACACCAUGAUAUUAGUAGCCAACAAGAUGUUUGGUAUUUGGACUCUGGUGCAAGCAACCACAUGUGUGGAAAGAAAAAGUUUUUUGCCGAACUCAAAGAUGGGCCUUAUGGAUCUGUGAGUCUUGGUGACUCCUCAAAGUUGCCAGUUGAAGGCAAAAGAAAGAUUAAAAUCAUCCAGAAGGGUGGUAGAGAAGAAUACAUUUCCGAUACCUACUACAUACCAGGUAUGAAAAGCAACAUUCUGAGCAUUGGUCAACUGCUCCAAAAAGCGUAUGUUAUACAUAUGGAGAAUAUGCUUCUCACUCUCAGGAAUGCAAAGAGAAAGCUUAUUGCACGUGUUCAAAUGUCAAAGAACCGAAUAUUCCCGUUGAAGUUGAACAUAAAGAUUGGAAGCUGCAACAUUGGUGUGAUGGAAGAUGAGUCAUGGAAAUGGCAUCUUCGGUUUGGCCAUCUUCAUUUCAAUGGCCUAAAGUUAUUGUCAAGUGGAGAAAUGGUUCGUGGUCUACCUUAGAUUGAAGCCACACACCAAGUAUGUGAAGGUUGUGUGCUUGGCAAACAAUCACAAUUAUCGUUCCCUGUUGGUGAUACAUAGAUAGCAAAGGCACCACUACAGUUAGUGCACACGGAUAUACAUGGUCUGUUGGAUCCUAUGUCCUAUGGAGGUAAUAAGUAUUUUAUUACCUUCAUUGAUGAUUUUAGUAGGAAGACUUGGGUUUAUUUUCUCAAGGAGAAGUCGGCUGCCCUAAGAGUCUUCAAGGAGUUUAAGGCACUCACAGAAGCUAAAAGCAACCAUAAGCUUGUGGCUGUGAGAUCAGAUAGAGGUGGAGAGUACACCUCCAAUGAUUUCCAAGCAUAUUGCAAGGAGCAAGGAAUUAGGCAUCAACUGACUACUGCCUAUACCCCACAACAAAAUGGGAUAGCCGAAAGAAAGAAUCGAACCAUCCUUGACCUGACAAGGUCUAUGCUUAAAGAGAAGAAUUUGCUAAAAGAAUUGUGGGCAGAAGCUGUAGCUUGUUCAAUUUAUUUGUUGAAUCGAUGUCCAACAAAGAGUGUCAAGAAGAUGACACCACAAGAGGCUUGGAGUGUGUUGAUGCACAAAAUCAGCGAGGACUUCGGUACAACAGAAAGUGUUAAGUUUAUGACCUUCGCUAGAUUGCUCCGGUCAUUAGUGUGGAUAAGUAAGUAAAUGGAUAGGGACAUGGAAGCAAACAUAAGAUGUACGUGGUUCACCCAGAUUGGCUACGUCCACGGAGUAGAGGAGUUCUUAUUAAUUGUGAAGGGUUUACACAAGUACAUAGGUUUAAGCUCUCCUUUAGUGAGUACUAGUGAAUGAUUUAGUACAAAUGACAUUAGGAAAUAUUGUGAGAGAAUGAUCUCUAUUUAUAGAAGAGAGUUUCUAGUUUCAUUCUGACGUUGACACGUGUCGUGUUGUGAUUGGCUUCUGAUGUUGACACGUGUCGCGUUAUGAUUGGCUUCUGAUGUCGACACGUGUCGCGCUGUGAUUGGCCUUUUGGUUAGAAGGAAAUUCUUCUGGGUCCUUGACGGUAUAAUGUUGACCAGUGUUCAGUAGUUUCGGGAUUGGUCAAAUAUGGUACAAACAGUGCUCCCCUAAGUUCCCGAGUGAGGGAAGCUCCUCGGUUGGGGACUUGUAAGAUCCAAGCAAUUGAGUAAUCACGAAACUUCUAAGUACCGAAGUGUGGUAUCAUUUUUACUUGCCUUAUCUGUCCCAUACGUAGAUGUGGCAUCUUCUCUGGAAGUACUUUUCCACCAUCCAGGGGUGGUAUCUUUAACCGAUGAAGAUGCACAAGGUAAUGUAUCAAUUUCACUUAAAGCUUACUUGUAGUUUUGGGCUUGGUCAAGUGCGAUACAAAACCCUAU
rnacentral:lncRNA from 1 species